UACGUAGGGUGCAAGCGUUAAUCGGAAUUACUGGGCGUAAAGCGUGCGCAGGCGGUUGUGCAAGACAGAUGUGAAAAUCCCUGGGCUUAACCUGGGAACUGCAUUUGUGACUGCAUGGCUAGAGUGUGUCAGAGGGAGGUGGAAUUCCAACGUGUAGCAGUGAAAUGCGUAGAUAUGUGGAGGAAUACCGAUGGCGAAGGCAGCCUCCCUGGGAUAACACUGACGCUCAUGCACGAAAGCGUGGGGGAGCAAAACAGGAU
rnacentral:rRNA from 1 species